rnacentral:rRNA from 1 species
AUACAGAGGGUGCAAGCGUUAAUCGGAAUUACUGGGCGUAAAGCGCGCGUAGGUGGUUAGUUAAGUUGGAUGUGAAAGCCCUGGGCUCAACCUGGGAAUGGCAUUCAAAACUGGCUGACUAGAGUAUGGUAGAGGGAAGGGGAAUUCCAGGUGUAGCGGUGAAAUGCGUAGAUAUCUGGAGGAACAUCAGUGGCGAAGGCGCCUUCCUGGACUAAUACUGACACUGAGGUGCGAAAGCGUGGGUAGCAAACAGGAUUAGAAACCCCAGUAGUCC